rnacentral:rRNA from 1 species
GUAUACAACCUACCUUUUAGCGGGGAAUAGCCCAGGGAAACUUGGAUUAAUGCCCCAUAGUAUGGAGAUCUCUCCUGAGAUUUUCAUUAAACAUUUAUGGCUAUUAGAUGGGUAUGCGUCCUAUUAGUUAGUUGGUAAGGUAACGGCUUACCAAGGCAGCGAUAGGUAGGGGUCCUGAGAGGGAGAUCCCCCACACUGGUACUGAGACACGGACCAGACUCCUACGGGAGGCAGCAGUGAGGAAUAUUGGACAAUGGGCGAGAGCCUGAUCCAGCCAUGCCGCGUGCAGGAAGACUGCCCUAUGGGUUGUAAACUGCUUUUACAGAGGAAGAACCACUCCCACGUGUGGGAGUUUGACGGUACUCUGCGAAUAAGGAUCGGCUAACUCCGUGCCAGCAGCCGCGGUAAUACGGAGGAUCCAAGCGUUAUCCGGAAUCAUUGGGUUUAAAGGGUCCGUAGGCGGGCAGUUAAGUCAGUGGUGAAAGUCUUCCGCUCAACGGGAGAACUGCCAUUGAUACUGAUUGUCUUGAGUUAUUAUGAAGUGGUUAGAAUGAGUAGUGUAGCGGUGAAAUGCAUAGAUAUUACUCAGAAUACCGAUUGC